rnacentral:piRNA from 2 species
UCAACUGGGCCUGUAGCUACUGGUUCUGC